rnacentral:tRNA from 1 species
GAUAGUGUGGUGUAGUGGUUUGAAUGUUAGACUACAACUCUGGAGACUAGGGUUUGAUUCCCUGCUUUGCCA